CAGUACUAUAAUGCAGUCGACGAACUCUGGUAUUGAUUGGUGCUUGCAUCAUGAUUUACAUUUGAGUGAGUGGCGAACUGGUGAGUAACACGUGGGAAACCUGCCCAGAAGCGGGGGAUAACACCUGGAAACAGAUGCUAAUACCGCAUAACAACUUGGACCGCAUGGUCCGAGUUUGAAAGAUGGCUUCGGCUAUCACUUUUGGAUGGUCCCGCGGCGUAUUAGCUAGAUGGUGGGGUAACGGCUCACCAUGGCAAUGAUACGUAGCCGACCUGAGAGGGUAAUCGGCCACAUUGGGACUGAGACACGGCCCAAACUCCUACGGGAGGCAGCAGUAGGGAAUCUUCCACAAUGGACGAAAGUCUGAUGGAGCAACGCCGCGUGAGUGAAGAAGGGUUUCGGCUCGUAAAACUCUGUUGUUAAAGAAGAACAUAUCUGAGAGUAACUGUUCAGGUAUUGACGGUAUUUAACCAGAAAGCCACGGCUAACUACGUGCCAGCAGCCGCGGUAAUACGUAGGUGGCAAGCGUUGUCCGGAUUUAUUGGGCGUAAAGCGAGCGCAGGCGGUUUUUUAAGUCUGAUGUGAAAGCCUUCGGCUCAACCGAAGAAGUGCAUCGGAAACUGGGAAACUUGAGUGCAGAAGAGGACAGUGGAACUCCAUGUGUAGCGGUGAAAUGCGUAGAUAUAUGGAAGAACACCAGUGGCGAAGGCGGCUGUCUGGUCUGUAACUGACGCUGAGGCUCGAAAGUAUGGGUAGCAAACAGGAUUAGAUACCCUGGUAGUCCAUACCGUAAACGAUGAAUGCUAAGUGUUGGAGGGUUUCCGCCCUUCAGUGCUGCAGCUAACGCAUUAAGCAUUCCGCCUGGGGAGUACGGCCGCAAGGCUGAAACUCAAAGGAAUUGACGGGGGCCCGCACAAGCGGUGGAGCAUGUGGUUUAAUUCGAAGCUACGCGAAGAACCUUACCAGGUCUUGACAUACUAUGCAAAUCUAAGAGAUUAGACGUUCCCUUCGGGGACAUGGAUACAGGUGGUGCAUGGUUGUCGUCAGCUCGUGUCGUGAGAUGUUGGGUUAAGUCCCGCAACGAGCGCAACCCUUAUUAUCAGUUGCCAGCAUUAAGUUGGGCACUCUGGUGAGACUGCCGGUGACAAACCGGAGGAAGGUGGGGAUGACGUCAAAUCAUCAUGCCCCUUAUGACCUGGGCUACACACGUGCUACAAUGGAUGGUACAACGAGUUGCGAACUCGCGAGAGUAAGCUAAUCUCUUAAAGCCAUUCUCAGUUCGGAUUGUAGGCUGCAACUCGCCUACAUGAAGUCGGAAUCGCUAGUAAUCGCGGAUCAGCAUGCCGCGGUGAAUACGUUCCCGGGCCUUGUACACACCGCCCGUCACACCAUGAGAGUUUGUAACACCCAAAGUCGGUGGGGUAACCUUUUAGGAACCAGCCGCCUAAGGUGGAGA
rnacentral:rRNA from 2 species